CCUACGGGCGGCAGCAGUCGAGAAUCAUUCACAAUGGGGGAAACCCUGAUGGUGCGACGCCGCGUGGGGGAAUGAAGGUCUUCGGAUUGUAAACCCCUGUCAUGUGGGAGCAAAUUAAAAAGAUAGUACCACAAGAGGAAGAGACGGCUAACUCUGUGCCAGCAGACGCGGUAAUACAGAGGUCUCAAGCGUUGUUCGGAAUCACUGGGCGGAAAGCGUGCGUAGGCUGUUUCGUAAGUCGUGUGUGAAAGGCGCGGGCUCAACCCGCGGACGGCACAUGAUACUGCGAGACUAGAGUAAUGGAGGGGGAACCGGAAUGCUCGGUGUAGCAGUGAAAUGCGUAGAUAUCGAGAGGAACACUCGUGGCGAAGGCGGGUUCCUGGACAUUAACUGACGCUGAGGCACGAAGGCCAGGGGAGCGAAAGGGAUUAGAUACCCGAGUAGUC
rnacentral:rRNA from 1 species